GACGAACGCUGGUGGCGUGCUUAACACAUGCAAGUCGAACGGAAAGGCCCUGCUUGCAGGGUACUCGAGUGGCGAACGGGUGAGUAACACUUGGGUGAACUGCCCUGCACUUCGGGAUAAGCUCGGGAAACGGGGUCUAAUACUGGUAAGGAGCCAGCUUUAGUGUGGGGGUUGGAAAGUUUUUUCGGUGUAGGGUGAGUUCGCGGCCUAACAGCUUGUUGGUGGGGUAAUGGCCUACCAAGGCGGCGACGGGUAGCCGGCCUGAGAGGGUGUACGGCCACACUGGGACCGAGAGACGGCCGAGGCUCCGAAGGGAGGGAGAAGGAGGGAAGAUUGAACAAUGGGCGCAAGGCUGAUGCUGAGGGGCCGCGGGGGGGAUGGAGGCGUUCGGGUUGUAGACUCCUUUCGCUAGGGACGAAGCUAUGUUGUGACGGUACCUGGAGAAGAAGCACCGGCUAACUACGUG
rnacentral:rRNA from 1 species